UACGGAGGGUGCAAGCGUUGUCCGGAUUUAUUGGGUUUAAAGGGUGCGUAGGCGGCCCAUUAAGUCAGCGGUGAAAGCCCGGGGCUCAACCCCGGAACCGCCGUUGAUACUGGUGGGCUUGAGUAUGGACGAGGUUGGCGGAAUUGAGGGUGUAGCGGUGAAAUGCUUAGAUACCCUCAAGAACACCGAUUGCGUAGGCAGCUAACUAGGCCAUAACUGACGCUGAGGCACGAAAGCGUGGGGAGCAAACAGG
rnacentral:rRNA from 1 species